AACUAAUGUUUUUACAUGUCUCAGUUUUCCUAUCUUGACAUAUUGAGAAUAUCAAGUUUACAAAUCUGUGUUACAUGUAGAUAUUCGCCAUGUGGGUGUUGCUCUUGCUAUUUUGAAGAUGGAUGUCUACAUGAUCUUCUCAUGUGGAUUGUUGAGGUCAACGUGAUCAUCUUGUGCCAUUUCUUUUGUUGUGAUGAACUUCGAAUUAUGUGUGUUGUUGUGAUGAACUAUGGACCUUGAAUGAUGUUGUGAUGAACCAUGCACUUUCAACAAUGUUGUUGUGAACUUGUGAUGAACUAUGAACUUUGUAUUAUGUGGUUUUCACUAGUCAUUGUUUGGCUGUCAACAUUUUCUCAGUUUUAUGUCAAAGUGGUAAGUGUUAUGCUAUGCAAAAUUUCCUUGUUUGGCUGUCAAUAUUUGAUGUUUUCCUGUGUAAAGUUCAAUUGAAGUGAUGUCCAAAAUUCAAUAGAAAUGCUGCCCAAUUCUUUCUCUCAUAUGUGUUCCAUUGUUACAAUUUUUGUAGAAGAAUUCAUAUAAGAACAUUAUUUUUCAUUACUAUGACCAUUUCUUAAAACAAUAGACUGCUGGAUUGUUCAUUUUAGUAGUAUAAACUGUUUGUUUUCCAAAAUAUAUGUUUAAUUGCGGCAAAAAAUUAAGUAUAUGCACUAUAUACAGAGGUCUGUACUAUUAAAUGGUUCUGGGAGAAACUGGCUUACGAGCCGGCUCAGUCUGAGCCGAGCCAUAGCCAAAGUGAGCCGAGCUGGUUGAAGUAGGCUCGUUGGCUGAGCGAGCCGAGCCGAGCCGAGCCGCUCCAGAGCGAGCCAAAGCCAGGCUCGGAUCAAGCUCGGCUCGGCUCGUAUCCAGCCCUAUGUGCGUCUGCUCCACCAUCGUGACGACAACACCAAAGUUGUGCAAUCAUGCGUCUUCUCUGCUAGAGAUGGCAGCUGGCUCGUGUUGAGCCCCAAGGUGAUCAGCGACAUCAUUCCGGGGCUCGAUGUCUACCCGGUGCCCUUCAUCUUCGUGGGCCGUGCCGGGGGCUCCGUCUACUAGUCCACCAAAGGCCAAUGCAACAAUGUCGUGCUCCACCUCAACGAGAGCACCGGCGAGUUCUCCUACUUGAGGCUACCUGACAUCAAAAGCAACCCAUUGUGUCACAACAGGAGGAACCUUCGUGUGAUUGGUAGAAUGCACCUGGCCCGCAUUGUCGAGAACGACCUCGAGGUACUCCGGUACGAUGCCCAUGGUGGCGGGGCAUGCAUGGUGGAGACAAGGAUUAGUUUGUCUCAACAGAUGGCCGACAACAUCAAGUCUAGGGCCGGGCAGGACCAGUCAUGGUAUUUCUCUCACAUGGCGCCCGAGGCCGUGGCUCCAGGGUGCAUUGUGGUGGUGUGUAACUUCGAAUGUGGUGUCGAGUACAUCUGGAGGUUCUCUGCCGACACCCAGAAAAUGAAGCUGGAGGGCGUGCAGAAGUUGCAGAGGGGCAAUGGUCAGGUGUUCCCAUACGAGCUCCUGUGGCCGCCAACUAUCAAUGCAUGCUUGUGCGAUGCCGCCACGCAGGAGAAAGCCCGCAAUAGUUGAUAUGACACUACUUUUUUUGGGGGGAUAUGACACUACUUUGUUUUGCCUUAAAAUCCAAAUUGGUUCAAUCAAUAAAAUGGGUUUUAUGUUGACCCAAAAGAAGUGCAUGCAUCCCUAGUUUUUCUCUUACCGGUUUAUUUGUUACAGAAAAGUUCUUUUAUGAGAAAUAUUAACAUUAAAUCAUUGUUAUUUGUGUAUUUAAAGUCUUGUGGCUUAUCUUACAUUCUUAAGAAGUCGGUCCCAAUUCUCUCAACAUGUAAAGUGUCCACCUCAGCGUCCCACUAAGCAAUGCAUUCCCAAUUUUUCUGCAUGUGCAAGGCUUCCACGUCACCCAACUGCCAUGUCAUCAACUCACAUCAAUGAUUUUUUCCCGAGAAAAAAUGUAGCUCCAUCUGUGGGGAUCCGGCGUUAUCGUCUCCCAAUUUCUUUCCCCACCUAUUGAUUUUCCAUUCAUCUCUUCAUCUACUACACCAGCGUCUUUUGUUAUCCACGGAAUAAAUGGAGUAAGAUGCAGUUGUUCUCCACCACAACAAGUAUCGCAUCUGCUCCAGAGGAUUAGUCGCCUAUUCACGCUCACCGUGGAUGCCCGUCGCUACUGUUACAGAUCUAGAAGAGGAGGCGGAGGUUGGAUGCUUCUAGAACCUGCAGGCAUUCGCUGGGAGACUCUCCCUCCCUGGCGCAGCCACCACCUACGGCGUCUCCCUCUUCUCCUACAUGGUCAUGUUUGGCAACCCCCCGCUGGCGCCGAGAGAGUGACCGGCAUCGUCGGUGCUAUCCUUGCGCAUCGUCCUAGGCCUGCAACACCCAGACCUUCGGAGGCUUCGGUUGGUCAAUACGAAAGCCGGACGAACUAUUGCGCCAGCGCAUCACCCCCUCCUCAUCUGUGUAGCCAAUAUCGUGUUCGCCGUGAAUGGAGACCAUCAUGCUCCGUGUUCCCAUGCUGCUCGAUCGCGUCCUCUUCUUGCCGCCGCUGUCGCCGUCGCCCAAGCGCCAAAUCCAAAGUCCUAAGUCACACGCGCACCCUGCACGCGGAUAAAUGACCCUUCCCGGUAUAUAUAGAGAUGGUCUUAGAAAGUGGCAUGGUGUAGAGAAGAAGCAAUGCCGCGGAUCAGUGAUGUGGCGCAAUCCAAACCCGUGCUGGAUGACCGGCCGGUGGGCAUCCCUAGAGCGUUUAAUGGCAUGGUAAUGAUAAUCCUCUUCAUUUUCAAGAAAGGAAAAUAUUAGGCCAUUUAAUGACAUGAUGAUUGAUCCUUUUCGUUUCCAAGAGAGGAAAUAAUUACGUGACAUGGGUUUCUAAUUAAUGGCCUAUACAUUCUCAAUAAUGUUGUGUACCUGGUCCAAGUUCCUCUAUUUUUUUCACAAACUUUUCAAGUCCGUCAAGCUAUCCAUUCUGGUUUCUUUGACGAUGUGAAGAAAAAAUAAAAUUAAGAGCUCAGUUGUUUAGAGUUUGUAGUUUUUUAUGUUUCUAAUGUUCAAGCCUCAACCUCUUUUCUCUUGUAUUUCCCAUGAAUUGCAAGAAGCUUUCCUUAUAUUUCACAAGUGGCUAAUAUUUACAAGCAAAUGGACCUGGUAAUAUAGGAUCAACAAGUCCUUCUGAUUAUCAACUUGGAUAGCAUCUGGAUUAUGUGACAAAACCACUCAACAUCGCAUCUUUGAGCUUACACGCUAACAAUCAUGCUGCCAUUUCAAAACUGGCACUUUUAACUAGUGACAGACUGAUUUUUAACAAGAGUUCAAAGUUCUCUCAUGGUCCAAAUCCAAACAGGAUACUCGACUUGCUUCUCCAGAUCAAUAGAAACAGCAUGCAUGAAUAAUCAUGAGAAAUUUUUCUCAUCAAAGCAAAGCAAAACAAAAAACAAUAACCGGGGGUUACAAGCAACCAUCAGCUAAGACACUACAGGCUUGUAAAGACUAGAAAAUAAGUAUUAGAGUUCAAGGCUUCACCACCACAGCAAGAUAGAUAAUCUAAACAAGAUGUCUUCAUGCUCCAUCAACAUAUUGCUCCCAGAGCCCUGAGAAAACUGCUCGUUACUGGUUUACAACCAAAGCCAUAGAUAUCACAAGCAAUCAUAGCCACAACCAAAUCAAACUAAAGCCAUAGAUAUCACAAGCAAGCAUGGUUACCACCAACUGACUGGCGGUGCAAAAGGCCCGACUCCAGUGCUCAGCAAUGACGACCAAAAGGGCUUUUGAUACAACUUCGACGGUCGGUGAUGAGGGCCUCAAAAGGUUGCUGCAUCUUGGCGCUCCACAGAAUCCUUCAUUGCUGCACUACAAACAUGACACACUACAGGGGGUCAGUUCAUUUUUGCUAGACCGAUGGUCCUAAACUCUCGUUCAAUAAGUAGCUGAAACAACAAAUCAUACACAAAGAGAAGAGCUGCAAGCACACAUCUGUCUGGUAAUACUGUUACUAUCCUUUUUUCGAGCGAAAGCAAGUCUACUCCUCCCUCCACUUCAUAUUUUUCUUUUCUGAGUAAAAGCUGGUAUGCAUUUGAGCAUAUGGGCUAGCAAAAUAUAAGAAAGAGUACCACAUAUGUAGCUAUUGCUAUCAGUUAGGAUAAAAUCAAGAAAAUGGCCCAUUUGAGCAUACAACCCACAAACCCAGAAACUUGGACAUAACCUACAGUGAGCACAAACCAAAUACUUGUACUGUUGUACGAGGCCUGCAGAGGACUCUUUCUUUGAUCCAUCUUCAUGCACGACAUAGAAGAAAAUACAGUUUGACAAGAUAAGUAAGUGGGCCUUGAGAUGUUGGCUACCAAACAUAGAGCUGUUUUUCAGAACAAAGACUAUUAACAUGUUUAACUGUGUUGUCCUUCACAAACCAGGAUGAAUCAAAUUUCUAGACAAUCUAUAUACCCCUGUUAGUCCAUGUUUGUACGUGAGCCAAAGGUAUUAACCAGACCAUGCCAAACCAUAAGCGACUUUCCUGAGAUGAUUCAAAGUAAUAAGCAUUCUCGAGUGAAAAUAAGACUUCACACUUUAUAAUCAACUAGAAGGGUUGGGCGUGCUUUGCUGCACCGUUUGUGUUGUUGGGAUUUCAUAACGAUAGAAAUUGGUUUGAAGCGUGGGAAAGAUAGUGAAGUGUGUUUUCUUUUCUAUAAUGUAAUGUUUUGGUGGGUUUUUUGGCACUGUGAUUUUGUAUUAUAUGCUAAUCAACCCAUAUGUGGGAAAGUCUGUGGGUGCAUGUACUAUAUUAAUACUAUAAUGCACGUGUUGACGCUUCUUUGUUAGAUGGUGAGAGGGUGUACGGGACUGAUGUGUUUUUACAAAAUGGUUGCCGCCAAUUAAUUUGAGAAGUCGUUUACCCAGUUAAAAUCGUGAAUCAAAUUCAAAAUUGGAUACCUCAACUGAAUGAGAGAAUUGAAGAGAGAGCACCUUAAAUCAUUGAUCCGGUCAAAAUUGAUGGCCCAAUUCUAAAAUUGAGACCAUUCAAAGUAAUAAGCACACUACUAGGAAAAGGCCUACUAAUGGCGCACCGGUUUUGCCUACUAAUGGCGCACUACCGGUGCGCCAUUAGUACCACGCCACUAGUAUUUUUACUAAUGGCGCACCACUGGUGCGCCAUUAGUAUCUGGUAUACUAAUGGUGCACCAGGCAGUGCGCCAUUAGUAUUUAACAUCAUGCGCCAUUAGUAUGCCUUCCGGGGGGCCAUAUGUAACCAUGUGCUUUGUCAUACUAAUGGCGCACUCUGCCUUGAUGCGCUAUUAGUAUUCUUUGGCAUACUAAUGGCGCACCUUGUGGUGAUGCGCCAUUAGUAUGAAUAUUUCAUUUUUCUUACUUUUCUGAUUUUUGCAUAGGUUAUAAAAUAUAUUAUUGGACCGAAUAUAGACAGCAGCACACAGCAACAGCAGAUUCAUCGAAUACAAUAGAAGAUUAGUCUCCGAAUACAAUUCAUCAUAUUAGUUUCCGAAUUCAAAAGACCGAACAAAGAUAAAACAUUACAAGUCUCAAGACCGCGAGUAUCGAGUUUGUCUUCACAUUACAAGUCGAUAUCGAUCAUCUAAACUACCAUCACAUAAAAGAGAGCUGCGGUCAUCACGAUGAGCAUCAUCGCGAUCAAACUGGUCUUCAUCCGGUUCCUCCAACGCUUCCUCCUCUCUCCCGCUAGAUAGCGGGCGUAUCUAGAUUCGGCCCCCGCCCUAGUGGUGUAUCCUUUGUAACUGUUACCGCUAAAACGGUGAACCUGUCUCCGAUACUCCUCCCAGUUGUCGUUGACUCCGGGAACCUUACCCUUGUACACGACAUACGACGGCAUCUCUAUGCACAAGCCAAACAACAGGCAAUACAUAAGCAAUAUGUAAGUAUGCAACAAAAGGAUCGGAAGAGAAAAGCAAGACAUUAAUAGCACGAUUCAUGGUCCUACUAAUAAAUAGCAUCGAUUAUCGAUUACAUCUAAGUUGAAUGACUGUCCAAACCAAAGAGACAUACGAAUUCAUUAAAAAUUACAACAUGAGCCAAUCAAUGUUUCAGAACUACACAUCACUACUUUCGACUCGACUCAUCGGACAGGAGCGUGGAUGAAGCCGCCGUCUGUCGUGAUGGUCAUGAAAUCGCGGUCGUUGUCACCCUGCAUUUAUAGUGUUCCAUCUAUCUCAUUGUUGGACGGUUGAUAUUUGAGGUAGAACUGCCCCGAGGUAUGAAGGACAUCUUGAUGGAUGAUGUCCGCAAACUCCGACUGGAUGCGAAAGAAUUCUUGUCUGAGGUCCGCGUCCUGGAUUGCCGACAAGUUCGCGGCCCAAUCUUUGAGAUUAUCUGGUACCAGAAGGUGAUGAUGGUCCCUUACGAUCGCCCGCAUGUGAUGUAGGGCGUAGUAGGCAUCCUUCUGACCGCCAGGCGGCUGCUUGACGUAGCAGAACUUCGUAUUGUGUGAGAACAUGUGCUUGCCGUACUUACGAACUGCCCUGGUGAAGAUGCCUCUAGAUUUGGCGUACCCGGGGAGAACAUCAUCAAGAACUUUCUUGACAUUUGUGUAGUCUAUCUUGGAGUUACGGUUCGGGUUGAAAUACGUGGCCAUGGAAUAUUUCGGGCUUAAGAGGAUGAGUGUGCAAUGUGUGUCACUGCACAGAACACGGAAUGUUAGAAAAAAAAGAACGAUCGAAAUCUAAGAAAUCAUAUGUUACGGGGCGGUUAAGGGAUGACUUACUCGGGAAAGUAAGCCACAAGGAAGUUAUCCUUAUCUGGGUUUGCCAGAAUGACGCUGUGGGAGUUCCGGACUAGGGGGUGUCCGGAUAGCCGAACUAUCAUCAUCGGCCGGACUCCAAGACUAUGAAGAUACAAGAUUGAAGACUUCGUCCCGUGUCCGGAUGGGACUUUCCUUGGCGUGGAAGGCAAGCUUGGCGAUACAGAUAUGUAGAUCUCCUACCUUUGUAACCGACUCUGUGUAACCCUAGCCCUCUCCGGUGUCUAUAUAAACCAGAUGGCCUUGGUCCAUAGGACGAACAACAAUCAUACCAUAGGCUAGCUUCUAGGGUUUAGCCUCCUUGAUCUCGUGGUAGAUCUACUCUUGUAACCCACAUCAUCAAUAUUAAUCAAGCAGGACGUAGGGUUUUACCUCCAUCAAGAGGGCCCAAACCUGGGUAAAACAUCGUGUCCCUCAUCUCCUGUUACCAUCCGCCUAGACACACAGUUCGGGACCCCCUACCCGAGAUCCGCCGGUUUUGACACCGACAUUGGUGCUUUCAUUGAGAGUUCCUCUGUGUCGUCACCAAUAGGCUCGAUGGCUUCUUCGAUCGUCAUCAACAACGCAGUCCAGGGGGAGACCUUCCUCCCCGGACAGAUCUUCGUAUUCGGCGGCUUUGCACUGCGGGCCAAUUCGCUUGGCCAACUGGAGCAGAUCGAAAGCUACGCCCCUGGCCGUCAGGUCAGAUUUGGAAGUUUGAACUUCACGGCUUACAUCCGCGGGGACUUGAUCUUCGACGGAUUCGAGCCACAGCCGAGCGUGCAGCACUGUCACGUCGGGCAUGAUUUAGCUCUGCCGCCGGACAGUACCCUGGAGGCCGCACUCGAGCCCGCUCCGAUCCUCAAUUCGGAGCCGGCCGUGCAGAUCGAGGAUGGAUGCCUAGACACCGCCUCGGGGGCUGCAACCUCUACGGCGAUAGAGCCGAACACUGACUUUGUCCCUCAUAAAGCUCGUGACUCCAAGGUGCCGGACUCCUCGCCGGACUCCGAACCCCCCGCGCCCGCCCUGAUCGAAUCCGAUUGGGCGCCGAUCAUGGAGUUCAACGCAGCGGACGUCUUUCAACACUCACCUUUCGGCGACAUCUUGAGUUCACUAAAAUAUCUCUCGUUAUCAGGAGAGCCCUGGCCGGACUGCAAUCAGGAAGGUUGGGAUGCGGACGACGAAGAAAUUCAAAGCCCACCCACCACCCACUUGGUAGCCGCUGUCGAUGAUUUGACCGACACGCUAGACUACGACUCCGAGGACAUCGACGGUAUGAACGACGAUGCCGGAGACGAUCAAGAACCAGCGCCCACUGGGCACUGGACAGCCACCUCAUCGUAUGACAUAUACAUGGUGGAUAUCCCAAAAGAUGGGAAUGGCGAAGGAACAGAGGAAGAUGACCCCUCCAAAAAGCAGCCCAAGCGCCGGCAUCAGCGGUGCCGCUCUAAAUCCCGCCACAGCAAGAAUGAAGACUCCGGUACCGGAGACAAUAAUACACCGGACAGUGCCGAAGACAACCCGCUCCAGCAAGAUGCAGCGCAGGAGGACGGAGACGCCAGCCCUUAUGAAGGAGCGGCAGGAGAAGAGGCAGAGGAUUAUACGCCUCCCUCCGGAGAUGAAGCGAGCCUCGACGAUGACGAAUUCGUCGUGCUUGAGGAUCCCGUCGAACAAGAGCGUUUUAAACGCAGGCUUAUGGCCACGGCGAACAGCCUCAAGAAAAAGCAGCAACAGCUUAGAGCUGAUCAAUAUCUGCUAGCCAACAGAUGGACUGAAGUCCUCGCGGCCGAAGAGCAUGAGCUCGAACGCCCCUCCAAAAGCUACCCUAAACGCAAGCUGCUCCCCCGAUUAGAGGAGGAGGCUUACGAACCCGCAUCACCAGGAGACAAUACGGCUGACCGACCACCCCGUGGUCGCGACAGAGAGGCCUCUAGUCCCCUCACUAGACCCGUACCCCGGCAUCGCUCGAAAAGGACACAGCCACAGGGGAACACUCCGGACUUACGAGAUAUAUUGGAGGAUAAGGCAAGACAAUCAAGAUCAAUCUAUGGAUCACGUGGGCGUCCCACGAUACGUGACGACAACCGUCGCGCCGGACAUAGUAAGUCCAGCCGGGCCGAACAAAAUAGACCAAGCUCCCUUGAGCUCCGUCGUGAUAUCACCUAGUACAGAGGCGCCGCACACCCACUAUGCUUCACAGAUGAAGUAAUGGAUCAUCAAAUCCCCGAAGGGUUUAAACCCGUCAAUAUUGAAUCUUAUGAUGGCACAACAGACCCCGCGGUUUGGAUCGAAGAUUAUCUCCUUCACAUCCACAUGGCCCGCGGUGACGAUCUUUACGCCAUCAAAUACCUCCCCCUCAAGCUUAAAGGACCAGCCCGGCAUUGGCUCAACAGCUUGCCAGCAGAGUCAAUUGGGAGUUGGGAGGACCUGGAAGCCGCAUUCCUCGAUAACUUCCAGGGCACUUAUGUGCGACCACCAGACGCUGAUGACCUAAGCCACAUAAUUCAGCAGCUAGACGAAUCGGCCAGGCAAUUCUGGACACGGUUCUUAACCAAGAAAAACCAAACCGUUGACUGUCCGGAUGCGGAGGCCCUCGCGGCCUUCAACGAUAACAUCCGCGACGAGUGGCUUGCCCGGCACUUGGGACAGGAAAAGCCGAAGUCCAUGGCAGCCCUCACAUCACUCAUGACCCGCUUCUGCGCGGGUGAGGACAGCUGGCUAGCACGCAACAACAACCUCAUCAAAAAUUCUGGCAGUCCGGAUUUCAAGGACCGAAAUGGCAGGCAGCGUCGUAACAAAAACAAACGCCGCAUUAACGGCGACAAUGGUGAGGAUACGACAGUCAAUGCCGGAUUCAGAGGCUCUAAACCCUUUCAGCGGAAAAAGCCAUUCAAACGAACUACUUCGGGUCCGUCCAAUUUGGACCGAAUACUCGACCGCUUGUGCCAGAUACACGGCACCCCCGAAAAGCCAGCUAACCACACUAACAUGGACUGCUGGGUAUUCAAGCAGGCAGGCAAGUUAAUUGCCAAAAACAAUGACAAGGGGCUACAUAGCGAUGACGAGGACGAGACCCAACCGCCGAACAAUAGAGGACAAAAGGGUUUUCCCCCACAGGUGCGGACGGUGAACAUGAUAUAUGCAACGCACAUACCCAAAAGGGAGCGGAAGCGUGCACUCAGGAAUGUCUACGCGAUGGAGCCAGUUGCCCCGAAGUUCAAUCCAUGGUCCUCCUGCCCGAUCACUUUUGACCGAAGGGACCACCCCACCAGCAUCCGCCACGGCGGAUUCGCCGCACUGGUCUUAGACCCAAUCGUUGAUGGAUUUCACCUAACCAGAGUCCUGAUGGACGGCGGCAGCAGCCUGAACCUGCUUUACCAGGAUACAGUGUGCAAAAUGGGCAUAGACCCCUCAAGGAUUAAACCUACCAAAACGACCUUUAAAGGCGUCAUACCAGGUGUACAAGCCAAUUGUACAGGCUCAAUCACAAUGGAAGUGGUCUUCGGAUCCCCGAAUAACUUCCGGAGCGAGGAGUUAAUCUUCGACAUAGUCCCGUUCCGCAGCGGCUAUCAUGCCUUGCUCGGACGUACCUCGUUUGCAAAGUUCAACGCGGUGCCACACUACGCAUACCUCAAGGUCAAGAUGCCAGGCCCUCGAGGAGUCAUCAUGGUCAACGGAAACACUGAACGUUCUCUCCGCACGGAGGAACAUACAGCGGCUCUCGCGGCGGAAGUGCAAUGUAGCCUCUUAAGGCAAUUCUCGAGUCCGGCCUUUAAGCGGCCAGACACAGCUAAGCGCGCCCGGAGUAACUUACAACAAGACCACCUGGCACGUUCUGAGCACGCGUAGCAGUGCGGCCCCAACCCCAGCUCCUGCGAAACGUUAAAGCAGGUCCUUCGCGUACACCAUUACGCUCUGAAGAUACCAUGGGCAUGGGGAGAGGGGCACGACCACGAUAAACCCAGACUGCGGCUCAACCACAACAGGGGCUCUCAAGUGUGUCGUUCUUUUUUCUUUUCUUUUUACCUUUUAUUUUUUACCCACAGGACUCCGUUUGUCAGAGGCCCUGUCCGGCAGCAGAUCUGCCGAACUCACGAUGCAACAGCCAGGAAAGGAUAAAGGCUACAACGAAUAUACAGGUGGUCUCCGUUACGAGCAUUUUUAUACACCAAUCUGCAGCCUACCCCUGGAGGGGGACAUGUUUAACAGUCCCAUACCUUGCUUAUCGCACUAUUUGUAUCGUUCUGCAUUCGUAGCAGCACUUAUUGAAUAAAACAAUGCAACACCUUUUUGCUUAUAAUUGCAUUUCCUUUUCAUACAUAUGUUCAUCCACGGCAUACUGCAUCCGUACACUUUGGUACGGCUAAUACACACCAGGGGCUUAUGUUCCCCGCAUUAUGGUGUGAUGAGUCCGAACACUUUCACAAGUGCGGCACCCCGAACUUAUAGCACUAUAUGCAUCGGCUCCGAAUCAUGUCUUGGGUCAAUAGUUGAGUUUUCCUGGCUCCCAUGUUUUGGUACCUUACGUUCUGUUAUAUCGGCUAAGGUAGCACUGGGAGAACCACUGCGAUUGCGCCCCAGUUGAGCUGGGUUAACGCCUCAGUGGAGAAAGCUAAAACUGACCGUCAUGAUGAGGCGAGAGCCGGUCGCUGUUCGAGAGGUUUUUUGCUAGUCCUUAAAGACUUAUGCCGCUUAGAGCGAGGAGCCGGAUACUGUCCGGCCAAGGCGUGGAUAGCGCCCCAAAUUCGGCCUUCCGAAGACUAGGGGCUUCACCGAAAUUUAAAAUUAUAGAAUUCUAUGGCUAAGUGAGAGUGUUCAAGCAUUAUAAGUCCGGUUGCCUUGUUCGCUGUGUCGAGUGCCUCCCUAGAUGGACCCAAAAAUGGGAACAAGAGCGCUCGAGUGUAUCCCGAACACCCCAACACUCGUGGCAUGGGGGCUGAAGCCGAUGACUUGCCAUCUCUCAGAUUUGAUAAACAGCUGGACAGAAGGUAAAAUUUUAAAUUAACAAGCGUUGCUUAGCGCAUAUGAACCAAGUUUUCAGCGCACAGGAUAACAAACUGCGAGUCUACUCAAAUAUUACAUCUUUGGAGCACUCACCCGCAAUAGUGCGGGCGCCCUUCAGCACACUCCUAUAAUACAUCUCGGGCGUGCGAUGCUCCUUGCCCUCUGGUGGGGGGUCCGUCACAAGCUCCUGGGCAUCCAUCUUGCCCCAGUGCACCUUUGCGCGGGCAAGGGCCUGACGGGCACCCUCAAUACAGGCGGAGUGCCUGAUAACUUCAACCCACGGGCACACAUCCACCAGCCGCCGCACCAGGCCGAAGUAGCUCCCAGGCAUAGCCUCCUUAGGCCACAGCCGAACUAUGAGGCCCUUCAUGGCCUGUUCGGCCGCCUUGUGGAGCUCGACCAGCUGCUUUAGCUGGUCACUAAGGGGCACCAGAUGUACGGCCUCAGCAUACUGAGACCAGAAGACCUUCUCCGUCGAGCUCCCCUCCUCGGCCCGGUAGAAUGCGGCAGCAUCGGACACGCUGCAAGGAAGAUCUGCGAACGCUCCUGGAGUGCUCCGAAUUCGGGUAAGCGACAGGUAAUUAACACUCACAUGCUUACUUUGCAUGAAAAAUGCCUUACCCGCUGCUAUUUUCUUUACCGCCUCGAUCUCCUGGAGGGCCUUGUAGGCUUCGGCCUUAGCGGCUUUGGCACUCUCAAGAGCCGUUGCAAGCUCAGACUCUCGAGUCUUCGAGUCAUGCUCUAGGCUCUCAUGUUUCUUCACGAGAUCCUGGAGCUCUUGCUGUACCUCCGCCACCCGCGCCUCCUGUUUCUCUCGCUCGGUGCGCUCCACAGCCGCAUUGCGUUCGGCCGCGGCCACCGCCUCUUCCAGGGUCGCCACCUCGUUAGUGGCCCCUGCAAUACCCAAGCUAUCCUUGUCAUUUUUCUUGCAACUAAAUCAUUUUCUGUAAGGUACAAUUUUCAUAAGGUAUUACUCACCUUCUUUUUCCUCGAGCUGCUUCUUGGCACGGCCGAGCUUGUUCUCGGACCGCUCGAGGCUUUCCUUCAAAGUAUUGACCUCCGCAGUCAGUGCGGCGGAGGUCAGCAGCACAGCCUGCAAUCCCAUAUUGACAUAUUUUCAUGACUCCUGCGUUUAUCUUUCUAAAGAUCCUCAGUCCGGCUUUUCUUUCCGAACACCGAACCGAGCAUCAGGGGCUACUGUCUAUGCGUUAUCAUUUUACAUAUGUUGAAAUUCUUACCUCAAAGCCUGUUUGAAGGCUGCUGCAGGCUUCGGUCAGCCCGCUCUUGGCGAGCUGAACCUUCUGAAUCACCCAUAACAGUGCGGUGUUCCUCUUCGAUGGAGGCGCCGUUGAGAGCCUCCAGCAAAUUAUCCCGCACCUCUGGUUGGACGGAGGCAGCCGGCGUCGUGGUCUUGCCCUUCUUACGAAGGGGUCACCCGCCGGACUCCGGAGCCACUGGGGGUUCCGUGGCUGAGUCCGGUGCAAAGUCCGGGAGGUUGUCCUGCGACACCUUCGGGGCCCUCUCCUCCUGGUGGGUCCCUUCCUGGGAUCCCGCCUCGGCAUCGUCCGCAUUACGGGGGGAGGAGGCAGUCGGAAGAGAAUCCAUAUCCGACGCCCCUAAGGACCCGCUCGACGAAGUGGGGAGAUCAUCCUUAGGCGGACUGCAGGGUUGUAUGCGGCAUUAGAAAGACAUAAUGUGGCGUAAAAUGAAAACCUUGAAGUUAUUCGGGAGUCCGGAUACUUACGAUCUCGCCAGAGGCUUGGCCCUUGGAGGCCAGUCCUCGUCGUCGUCACUGGCGUUGGCGGAACAGUCCGGGGGAAGAGUUUUUCCCUUCUUGGACCCUUUGGCCUCCCUUGUUGGGGAGGCCUUCCUUUUCUUCCCUCCCCCUGCUGGGGGAGAGGCUUUCUUCUUCUCCUCCUCGCCCUGGUGGGAGGAGUCGGCCUCGGAUUCAUCAUCCGAUAGCACCUGAAAACGGGAACUCUUCCGAGUCCCCGUGGCCUUCUUCUUGGCCUUCUUCUCCGGCACCACGUGGGGUGCCGGAGCCAGCAGCCCUGUUAGGCGGGCGUUAGCUGGGUCCUCUGGCAAUGGGGCUGGACAGAUAGCCUGUGCGGUCUUCUUCAGCCAGUCCUGUCAAAGGAAAGGGAGUUUAGAUCCCGCAUAGAGUCAAACUAUGAAAAACAAGUGGCAAAAUCACUUACCUCGUCAGCCGAACGCUGCGAGCGGAAUCCGCGAUCUUCGGUAGCGGAUGCGGGAGCUUCGGCGCCCUUGAACAACACCUUCCAGACAUCUUCGUACGUAGUGUCAAAGAGCCCACUCAGGGUCUGGUGCUGCGCCGGAUCGAACUCCCACAUGUUGAAACCCCGUCGUUGGCACGGGAGAAUCCGGCGGAUGAGCAUGACCUGGACUACGUUGACAAGCUUGAGCUUCUUGUCCACCAGCUUCUGGAUACAGGCUUGGAGUCCGGUCAGCUCCUCCGAAUCCCCCCAGGUCAGGCCGCUCUCUUUCCAGGAGGUGAGCCGUGUAGGGAUGCUGGAUCUGAAUUCGGGGGCCGCUGCCCAAUCAGGGUCACGCGGCUCGGUGAUGUAGAACCACCCCGAUUGCCACCCCUUGAUGGUUUCCACGAAAGAGCCCUCCAGCCACGUAACGUGGGACAUCCUGCCCACCAUGGCGCCUCCGCACUCCGCUUGGGUGCCCUUCACAACCUUCGGCUUGACACUGAAGGUCUUGAGCCACAAGCCAAAGUGAGGCUGGAUGCAGAGGAAGGCCUCGCACACGACGAUAAACGCCGAGAUGUUGAGGAUGAAAUUCGGGGCCAGAUCAUGGAAAUCUAGGCCGUAGUAGAACAUGAGCCCCCGGACGAAGGGAUGAAGUGGGAAGCCAAGUCCGCGGAGGAAAUGGGGAAGAAACUCUACCCUCUCAUGGGGCCUGGAGGUGGGGAUGAGCUCUCCCUCGUCGGGGAGCCGAUGCGCGAUGUCGCUGGACAAGUAUCCGGCGUCGCGCAACUUCUGGAUCUGCCCCUCCGUGACGGAGGAGGCCAUCCACUUGCCUCCCGCUCCGGACAUAGUUGGAGAAGGUUGAGGUGAGAAGUGCGGACUUGGGCGCUGGAGCUCGAGUUCGCGGAGAUGGAUAAGCCAAGGAGGAAGAAGGCGCAGGUAAAAGGGUUGGAUCUUUAUCCCCUUAUAUGGGCGGACAGAAACACACGUCCCCACCGGCCUGGUAAAACUCGCUUAUCUCCCAAGCGUCACAAUCAAUGGCACGGUUGGGUUACCCACAUCCGUAUUGAUGGGAAUCCCGGAAUAAGGGGAACACGAUCUCUGCUUCGACAAGACGUGCCAAGGAAACUGCCUCGCUAAACGCGCUGAGGUGGAACAAUAAAAACAAUUCGAGUAAAGGCUUGUAAGUGGUGUGACGUCACGCCACGGAAUACGUCAGCAGAUUGAUCUUGUGUAAUAUUAUUCUCUCUACGGUGGUAUGUGGAAAUUAUUUUUGCAGAGCCGGACACUAUCCUGGUGUUCACAAACUUCUAUAAAUUAUUUGGAGGAGGAACCCGCCUUGCAAUGCCGAAGACAAUAUGCGCGCCGGACUCGUCGUCAUUGAAGCCUGGUUCAGGGGCUACUGAGGGAGUUCCGGACUAGGUGGUGUCCGGAUAGCCGAACUAUAAUCAUCGGCCGGACUCCAAGACUAUGAAGAUACAAGAUUGAAGACUUCGUCCCGUGUCCGGAUGGGACUUUCCUUGGCGUGGAAGGCAAGCUUGGCGAUACGGAUAUGUAGAUCUCCUACCUUUGUAACCGACUCUGUGUAACCCUAGCCCUCUCCGGUGUCUAUAUAAACCGGAUGGCCUUAGUCCAUAGGACGAACAACAAUCAUACCAUAGGCUAGCUUCUAGGGUUUAGCCUCCUUGAUCUCGUGGUAGAUCUACUCUUGUAACCCACAUCAUCAAAAUCAAGCAGGACGUAGGGUUUUACCUCCAUCAAGAGGGCCCAAACCUGGGUAAAACAUCGUGUCCCUCAUCUCCUGUUACCAUCCGCCUAGACGCACAGUUCGGGACCCCCUACCCGAGAUCCGCCGGUUUUGACACCGACAGACGCCUUCGAGGUGUGAACUCGCAACUUGGCGGUCCCCAGUGCUGGUCAAGUGCUUGGCACGCAUGUAUAAGGGGUCGACUAUCACAAUGUCCGGGGUCUUGUCUCUAAUGAUCCGCAUCUCCAUACUCAGCGAAAACAGCCGAACAAAGGUGUAGUGCAGCGGAUGAAGGUUAAACAUAGCAAAGAUGUCAUCAAACCGCAGGACGAUCGUACCCCCGAUGUCGCCAUCCACAAAGCCCUUGCCCUCUGGCACCUUGGCCAUGAAAACCGGGUAUGCCACAUCAUUCUCUCUGAGACGCCGCUUCUCCAAAGAAAGAACACUGUCGUGCAGACUCCGCAUAGCACCAGUUGUAGCAUUGAGCAUAUUUGGCGGUAGCAUCGCCCUACCCGCCACACGCACCCUCCUCAAGAUAUCCUUAGGUGAAGGUGGCCCGUCCUGAGCACGGAUCGAACUCGAUGCCGGCUGGCUCGCACCGGCGCCCUUCUUAGUCUUUCGUUUCCAUCCCUUCUUCUUGAUCUCCUGUAAUGGGACCGAGUUCUGCUCACAGACCGCCUUCUUGAGCGUGUUGGGGCUGAUAAUAUUUCGCACCUCAGCUAUCUGAGGCUCGGUGAAGGCGGGAGCUGGAGGCGUCUCCUAAGAACUAAACACCAGACGACGCCUGUUGCAAUUGGAUUUCUCCGCCGUACCAGCUAGAUUGCGGUCGUCUUGGUUGGGUUCUUGAGAAAGAGGCCCGUAGAACUCGUCAGCGUACCCAUGUUCGGCAAACUACUUAUCGACAUUGGUAAAUGUACCGUCGUCGUUGUCAUUGUCGUCCGGAUCCUGUGCCAUAGGGAUGUCCAUGUCCUGUGCCAUAGGGAUGUCCGGCACAGAGAUGUCCGGCAGGUCCGGUAGCGUUGCGGCGUUCUUGCCAUGGCUUGGCGCCGGCACGACUGCGGUCUUGUCUGUGGGUUGGUGUCCCCCGCCCCCAAAUGAAUCUGGCUCUUCGGCCAAAGCAGGGGCCAGUUUACGCAGGCGCUGAGGGUCAUCUCAUCUUCUUUGUCGGCCCUAGCGGGUCGAAUCGGAGGUAACAGCUCGUCGCAGCCUGGCAGCACCCGAACCACUUCAACCCUAUACACUGUGGGUGGCAUCGGAUUACCGUGGAACAUGGGGUUGCCCGGUUGAACGAUUCUGCCCUUGGCGACAUCGACCAACUCGGCGCCCACUAAGUGCAGAAGAGUGCAAGGAACAUCGGCGGCGCCCUGCAAAAACAUGUACAGGGCGUCAGGGAUGCCGAGUCAAAGGCAAGGAGAUGAAGUCAUCGGCCGAGAGGCUUAGUUACCGUGAUGCCGUCGAGCUCGGCUAAUGUCGAGGCACCGCCAACAGCGGGCGUGAACUGACGGAGGGGGCGCUUGCUGGCGAGGUGCUGGCCGGCGUACACCCGUGUGCAUUAAGCUCUAAUGCCCGUGCCGGCGCCGGAGACACGAAUACCGCCUCCGCCGGAGACACCAAUGGAGCCGCCGCCGGAGACACCAAUGGCGCCGCCGGAGACACCAAUGGUGCCGCCUGCGCGCUGUGCGAGUUGCUGGCCAUGAAGCUGGGAACCGGGGGAGGCCCCUGUUGGCCGCCCGCAAUCCACGUCGUCAGCCCAUGAAUCAAUGUAGGCACCAUGGCGUUGAGCUUCGUUCCCAGUUGUUGUUCCACUUGCUCUUGGACAAGCUCCGGAAUCCGCGCCACUUGUGCCUUGAGUGCUUCAACCUCGCGCGUCUGGCUUUCCGAGCUGGUCUUUUUCUCCUUCCACACACCAGCGGUAUAGUAUGACCCCCAUUUUGUGGACAAGCCUUUGCCGGCCACACGACCAGCUGACAUCGGCUUAGUGACCUUAUCCUUGUUUUUCAUUACGUCGAAAGGGGAGCUCUGAGACGACCCCGCACUACUGCUUUCAGUGUCCUGCGAAAGGAACGUGAACCAUUUAGAAAAUAUUGGGGAUUAAUUAGAGUGCAACCAUAUGGAGCUAAUUACGCGGGGGUGUAUUCCUUACCAGAACAAGCUCAAGCGCCCUGGUCUUUGGAUCCGUGGUAAGCUCCUUUGUUAUCGGGUCCUCCUUGUACCGGGCCCUGACAAAGUUCCUCGUCUGCUUGUCACUGCUGUAUUUCUCUAAGCGGGGCGGUAGGCCUUGCUCGGCAUGCUCCGCGUCCUCCUUGUCCCAUAUAGGCUCCGCCACUCUGUAACCGCCGGGACCGAGUUUGUGUUCCCCUAAGUUCAACUCCUGCAUUUCUUUUCCCCACUGACUUGAUUCAGAGGUUGCGCUGCUCUCGCACUUGAUCUUGAACUCCUUGUACUCAUCUUCGCUCAUCAAAGGAUAUUUCGCCUUGAUCUUCUCAUUACUAUCACCUUUAUCAAUCAUUCUCUUCACCGCGCUUCUCCAAGUAGACAGGGCCGUGCUCAUCCUCGUGAGGGCGGCACUGUUCACUUUAUUCCCUUAGAGGCGUGUGUUUUCAAAUUCGGCGGGGAACUUGUAUCGUUCGUGCAGCUUCGUGAAGAGGAGGUUGCGCAAAUUCCCGUGGUCCUUAUGCCUAAGGUUCUCGGUGUUGAUCGAGACGGUGCUUCGGAGAAUGCACCCGAGCUGAAGCGAGUACCCCUUGACUAUAUGUUUGGGCUCCGUUGGAUGCCCGUCGGAGUCCACUUGAGUGAAUUCCUCCUUGAGGGUGCGGAGCGCAUUCAGGCGCCGGUCCUUCCUUUGCUUCUUCGAUUGGCUGCCAUCUGUGUGUGCGCCGCCAUCAUCAGUGGUGGCAUCCUCGGCGGCACCAUCAGUGGUGUCAUCCCUGACUCCACUAGGGGUUGUGUAGUCAGGAUCGGUGUCUUCCGCGGCGUCCUCAUAGCGGUGAGGUUGUUCCUCCAUCUCCUGGGACAGCUCCCAGAAUUGCUUGCCACCCGAACCGCCGGCCUCAUCGUGGUUGGCCAUGUUUCGCUCUAAAUAGGAAAACAGUUUGGUCAAAAAGUUGGUUAUUGUCAAGGAACAAGAUCAUGGUCUCAUCAUUUAGGGUUUGUCGACACCGAGGCAUCCUAAAAGUUAAGUUUUCAUCAUUUAGGGUUUAUCGAUGCUGAGGCACCCUAGGUUGGGCCUAAUCACUUGGCACUAAUCACUUGGCUCUAUUACCACAUAUGUUGGGUUUAUCAUCUAGGGUUUAUCGAUGCUGAGGAGAAUUCUAAGUUGGGCCUAAUCACUUGGCUCUAUUGCCACCUAUGGUUUAAUGCAGCAAGAAUAAAGGGGCAGUUGAUCCUAGUUAAUUAAGUACUAAGAUACCCCGACCCAUGCAUUAGUAGCAAGUACCCCAUAUGUCCGAUUUUUAGCAAAGUCAUGCUAAAAUUCACGAAAAAUUUCAGCAUGACCUUUGCUGAAAAUAGGACAUAUGGAGUACCCGAAUUUGCCGGAACGGAAGUUAAUCGACAUUCCGGCAAACUCAAGGGCCUCUCGGGGUACAACAGUAGCAUCACAAGUUGACAAAAUUCCCAAGUAGUACAGCAGCAGCAUCACAAGUAGUACCAAUGAAUAUAUAGUCCAGCAAGUUGAAAAAGCUGAAGUUCUCAGCAUGAAGAAUCACACAACACAGCACCUACAUUAUGAUGAUACAUUUGGAGAUUGCGCAUACAGUUUUCACAUAAGCAUAAUUGUUCUGGAGAUUGCACAUACAGUUUUUGACAGCACAACACCUAUGACAGCACAUACAGUUUUUCACAUUUGUAGAUUGCACAUACAGUUUUCACAUAGAGCAAUGUUCUUUUCAUUUCACCUUCUAUCUUUUUGCAAUUCAACUCACUUCCUUUUCUUAUAGUUACUGCUCCCAAAUGAAAUGACACUUUGACAUGGCUGCAAUUUUCAGUGUUUACUUAUCUGCAAUUUUUCAGUGUCUGCUUAGGAGAAAUAGGUUUCAAACUUCAGCUUGUUUUGUAUAAGGAGACUAAAAAACUAUCUAAGGAGUUCUUCAAGUUCAAGUUGCAGCGUGCAUGACUGAAAAUAGUUACACUAAGUUUCAAAAUAGAAAAAUACACUUCUCAGUUUUACAAAUUGAAAAUUACUCUAAAACUGAAACUUUAACUGACUUUUAGACUGAAUUUUUAAUGCGCACCCAACCGAUUAGAGCAGCAAUGCUUGUAACUAAAGAGGGGGAUGUUUCAUGACAAUUUCCUAGAAAAACUGUUUCAACAUGGGCAUUUACAUUUCUGUAGAUAUCUUUUUAAGGACCUUGGUUUCCAGUUUUCCAAACCUUCAUCCCACCAACAAAUCAGGACACAAAAAUAAUCAACUAAAAACAUAUAAUAAGAUAAGAUAAUGCAACCCACAAUCACUUGAAGUGACAUGAUAGUCAGCCUUCAGAACUCUAUGUUCUGGCAAAAUUAACAGAAAGUAUGGAUACAAUAAAUAACAGUGCAGCAAAAAGAUAGAAGGUAGGGAAAAAUGCUUACUUGGAAUCAAAGAAUGCAUGAAACUGAUAAUUUGACUUGCUAAAGCUAAAUGCUUAGAAGUAAUUGAUUUCAGACCAGAUACCUGAAAAGGAACCAAAGGAAAAUAAACCAAGCAGUCCAGACUUCUUGAUAUAUAAAAAAAGAAGUGUGGCAGCACAUGCCCACAUUAAAUAGCUAUUUAGCUUGAUUAAGAUUUGAGGAAACUACUGGUGCAUUGAAGUACUAUUGAUGAACUAUUUUCUUGGAUGUACUGAUCUACACUAACAUCUGCACAUUGUGCAUAACAAUUCACAGGCAUAUUUACUUGGUAUACACGUACACGUAUGUACGGGUUGGCUCAUUGGCUCUACUUUUUUGUUUAGGAUCAGGACGUACACUAGCACUACAAUUCACAGACAAAAAAGUAGAUGUACCAUUGAAGUACACCUACAGAAAAUAUUUGAACCUACACAAAAUAUUUGAACCUACACGUGUAUGUACAUUGUGCAUAACAAUUCACAGGCAUAUUUUAUUGGAUGUACUGCUCUACACUAACUCUCUUUCUCCCACAAAUUCACAGGCAUAUUUGAACCUACAGAACACCUAUAUUACUAUCAAUCAUUCCAACAUGAAGACAAAUCCCACCGAGCAGAGAAGCCGCGGAUUAUCUACCACUUCCUCGGUAAAACCACAACCCAAUGAUAUACUCUCGCGACGGACCUAAUCUAAACCGCACCAGAGCAACCAAGAGCACCACGGUCCCGACAGAAUCCGACGGGAGGACGCGCGGAGGGGCGGAGGCGGGGGACCAUACCGUUGGUGAUGAUGGUGCUGGUCUGGGGCGGGACCCCUAACUCCUCGGUGGCGAACUUGAGCACCACGGUGAAGGGCGCCGCCUUCGGCACUCUGAACCUGCAAGGCCACCGCAUGACACACGCGGAUUAGGACAAGAUCUGGUCCGAGGAGGGGUGGGGGAGGAGGAAGCGAGGGGGAUCUGUACUCACACUUUGAAUGGGAGCUUGGGGUCGGAGAGGGAGGCGGCGGGGGCGCGUGGGCGGCUGCGGCGCAGUGGGUCGGGGCAGCGGCGGCGGCGGCACGGUGGAGGGAGGGACGAGGGAAGGAGCGGCGCGGUGGAUCAAGGGAGAGGGAACUGGCGAGGGGGAGAAGGAAGGGGGGAGAGGGCGAAGGGGUAUCCAGCUAGACACUAUAGCAAUGGCACACCACCCUCUGGUGCGCCAUUAGUAGUUUUUUUUCUUAUAGCAAUGUCGCACCCACAUCUGGUGAGCCAUAAGUAUCUUUUUUUUUCUGGCAGCAAUGGCGCACCCACCUAGGGUGCGCCAUUAGUAACUUUUUUUUCAUUAUUUCUUGUUGCAUCUAAUAAUUUGUUUUUUUAUCAAAUUUGUUAUUUUCAUGAGGACUAGAACAGANNNNNNNNNNNNNNNNNNNNNNNNNNNNNNNNNNNNNNNNNNNNNNNNNNNNNNNNNNNNNNNNNNNNNNNNNNNNNNNNNNNNNNNNNNNNNNNNNNNNNNNNNNNNNNNNNNNNNNNNNNNNNNNNNNNNNNNNNNNNNNNNNNNNNNNNNNNNNNNNNNNNNNNNNNNNNNNNNNNNNNNNNNNNNNNNNNNNNNNNNNNNNNNNNNNNNNNNNNNNNNNNNNNNNNNNNNNNNNNNNNUCAUUUUUUUUGAAAAUAUCAUCAAUUUUUGUUAAUUGAAAAUAUCAUCAAAUUUUUUAUUUGAAAAUAUCAUCAAAAAGUGGGGGAGGGUGCGGGGUGUCGGCGGCGGCGGUGGAGCGGGGGAGGGUGCGGGGGGUGCUCGGCGGCGAGGGGGGGUCUAGUGAGGGGGAUCGGAUAGCUAUCGAGAGGGAGGGGGAUCGAGAUCGAGUGUCCUCAUGAAUAUUCAAUAUUCUUUCAUAUCGAAUAUGAAAAAAUAUCAUCAAAUUUAAAAAAAUAUUCAUGAAUUCAAAAAAUGCCCAUGAAAUUUAAAAAUAUUCAUGAUAUCAAAAAGUGCCCGAGAAAUGAAGACUACGAUUUAAAAACAAUCGAUCUUAGCUAGCUAUCUGUUCACAAUCUUCUUGCCCUUCUUUUUCGCAAAUGGAGUUCUUCUGUGGAACUGACGUCCUUUAGGUAGGGUGGUCCUGCUUCUUCUUAUGGUGUGUUCUGCUACUUCAUCGUCAUCGUCAUGUUCGAUCUUUGGGUCACUGCACUUGUCGAAGUCUUGCUCAUUGGCUACUCCAUCCAUUCCGAUGAUCUUCCUUUUGCCUCUCCUCACGAUAACACGUCUGGGCUUUGGCGGGUCGGUAAUGAAGAAGCAUUGGUCCACUUGGGAAGGCAGUACCCAUGGCUCAUUUUUCGCGGUGACGUUUGCGCCCGCGGUCUUGGAUUUGGCUUCGGGUAUAACCAUGGUGGUGAAAUACCGGUCUUAUUUUAGGACACUCUUGGCCCAUCUGACACGGAACAUCGGGACCUUCUCUCUAGCGUAGCUCAGCUCCCAGAUCUCCUCGAUCCUUCCGUAGUAUCUGUCCUUGUCGUUGCCGGUGUAGGAUUCUAUCGUUACCCCGGAGUUCUGAUAACCAUCGCUCUUCAUGUCCUUGUUCUCGGUGUAGAAUGUGUAGCCGUUGAUAUCGUAUGCCUCAUAGUUCAUUAGGUUGUGCUCGGCGCCCUAUGACAAGGCGAAUAUGAGUUGUUCUUCCGCGGAAGAAUCCUCAUGUAAAGGGUACGACAAAAGCUUCUGCUUGAACCAACGCGUGAAACAUGAGUUGUGCUCUUUGAUUAUAUCUCCGUCCGUCCUCUGUUGGCCUCGGUCAUUGUACGUCUUCUCAAUAAAGGUUUUGUGUUCUACCACCCAAGGAUCGACCACGUCUAUGUGUUGUAGUGCGACUAGGUUUGCUCUUUCAAAGUCGACGAGUCAACCCUCGAAGUCGACAUGCAUUUCACGGAGACCCUCACGGUGACCCUCACGGUGACCCCAUCCAGCGAGCCUGUCGAGGUGCCUGUUGACGGGCAGACCAACGGGGUUCUUGAUGCCUAGAUAAUUCAUGCAGUAGGAGAUGCACUCUUCGGUCAGAAAGCCCCUAGCUAUACUUCCCUCUGGAUGUGACAUGUUGCGAACGUAUCUUUUGAUGACACCAUUCAUCCUUUCGAACGGCAUCAUGCUAUGCAGGAACGUCGGCCCGAGUUGGAUGAUAUCCUCCAUGAUAUGGACCAACAGAUGCACCAUAACGUCGAAGAAUGCGGGCGGGAAGUACAUCUCAAGCUCGCAUAGUAUCACCACGAUCUGUUCCUGUAGCCUUCUGAGUUGCCUCACGCCAAUCGACUUCCGAGAGAUGACGUCGAAAAAGUUGCAUAGGCCAAAUAGCGUUUCACGGACGUGCGCAUCCAUGAUCCCACAGAUUGCAACUGGAAGUAUCUGCGUCAUCAACACGUGACAGUCGUGAGACUUCAUCCCGCUGAACUUCUGCUUCGCUGGGUCUAGGUAUCUGCUUAUCUUCCCCGCAUAACCGUAAGGAAGUUUUACUCCUAGGAGGCAGGUGAAAAACUGCUCGAUCUCCUCCUGACUUAGAGUGAAGCACGCGGGAGGGUAGUCAUUUCCGGUCUUCUUGGCCUUUUUGCCUUUGCGACGACUUUCUGUGUCCUGCUUCGCCUCAUCAUCAUCAUCAUCAUCAUCAUCAUCAUCAUUAGCGUGAAGCUCCUGCCUGAUGCCCAUUGAUUUCAAGUCUGCCCUUGCUUUCGGCCCAUCUUUGGUCCUCUCUAGCAUGUUGAUCAGGGUACCAAGCAGACUCUUGCACACAUUCUUCGUGAUAUGCAUGACAUCAAGGCUGUGAGGCACACGGUGGAUCUUCCAGUACGACAAGUCCCAGAAAACAGACCUCGUUUUCCAUACCUUCAGCAGCGGCUCUGGCGCCUUUCGCUUCUUUCCCGGCUUUGGCUCCUUUUGCUUCUUUCCCGGCAGUGGGCAGUCUUUCCAAUUUUUCAACAGCUCGUCUAUUUCCUCGCCGCUCCUUGUACACGGGCGUUUUCGGGGUCCGGUUUCACCAUCGAACAGAUCCUUGCGUUUCCUCCACGGGUCAUCGUCGCGAAGCCACCUUCGAUGUCCCAUGAACACGGUUUUGAAGACCCGGGAUCUCUAUCUAGCUGGCGAUACGUUGUGUCAUCCAUGCACCUUACGCAUCCAGAAAAUCUGUGGACUACCUGCCCCGCGAGAUAUCCGUAACCGAGAUAGUCGUGCACCGUCGUGAGCAGUGCGGCUCUCAUAGGGAAAUAUUCUUUCUCUGCGGCGUCCCACAGCGUGUCUAGCUACUCCUUCAGCAGCCCCAGAUAUAGAUUGAUAUCGUUCCCUGGUUGUUUCGGCCCUUCAAUUAGCAUACUCAUGUGAAUGUACUUCCUCUUCAUGCACAACUAGGGGGGAAGGUUGUACAUCCACACAAACACAUGCCAGGUGCUAUGUGUGCUUCUCUGGCUGCCAAACGGAUUGACUCCAUCGGUGCUCGCGCCCAGCACGAUGCUCCUUGGAUCCUUCCCAAAUUCUGGGUAUUCGAAGUUCAACGCUUGCCACUGGCUCGCAUCCUUAGGGUGACUCAGCAUCUUGUCUUCUUUAUUUAUCUCCGGAUCAUUUCCGUCAUCUUCCCGCUUCCUCUCCUCCCUAUCCGCGUGCCAACGUAGGAGCUUUGCUACCUUAGGGUCCGCGAAAUACCGCUGCAGACGAGGAGUGAUCGGAAAGUACCACACCGAUUUUCGAGGAGCUUUCUUCCUCUUCUUGUAUCGAGUGACGCCGCACACCGGACAUAUGGUAGACUCCGCGUGCUCGUCCCGAUAAAUGAUGCAAUUGUUCAUGCACACAUGGUAUUUCACUUGCGGUAAAUCCAGAGGACACACGAUUUUCUUCGCCUCCUCGAAACUGGCCGGGCACUUGUUCCCCUUGGGAAGACGUUCGUGCCAGAAUGACAUGUUCUCAUCGAAGCAUGCGUCGGUCAUUUUGUGUUUUACCUUCAUCUCCAGAGCCAUGAGCGUUACUUUCAGGCGGGUAUCCUCGGGUCUGCAUCCUUCAUACAAUGGAGUAACCGCGUCUAUCUCCAGUUGAUCCAGCUUGGCUUUCUCUCGGGCGGCAGCUCUUGCGUUAUCCCUCUGCUUGAGAAACAACUCUUGAAUAUGAGGGUCCUGCACCCAGCCUCCAUCGUCGUCUGCUCCGGCAUCUUCAUCUUUAUGAUCAUGCCCUUCGUCUUGAUCUUCCUCAUCAUCAUGUACGACAUCUUCUACAUGAUGACUGUUUACAGCAUCACCGCCGUGAUCAUGUCCUGGAGAUUCUUCGUCUACUCGCCCGCCCUCGCCGCGGUGGUACUUGUCUUGUUGCCCUUCCUCAUUUCUUGCCCGGCCCCCAUGGACGAUUUCAUAGUCAUCUUCAUCGCCUUGCCACCGAUAGCCAUCCAUGAAACCACGCAAGAGCAGGUGGUCCCGCACCUGCCCAGAAUCCGGGUCCGCAAUAAGGCUCUUCAGCUUGCAUCUUCGACACGGACAUCUUAUCUCCGUCUCGUUCUUUUGAAGCAUCUCGGCCUUCACGGAGCUCAAAAACUUAUUCACGAUGCCUUCGGUCAUCGUGCGGACCAUGGUCGCCUGCGGGGUAGAGCAAAACGAUAUUCUAGAACCAAGAAAAAAUUUGGCAUGACCUUCCUAAAAAUAGGACCAAAAAGAAUGCAUAGUGCCAAAAUUCUCGCCGAAACGGAAAUGAAUCAACAUUCCGGCAAAAUAUUGGCAACUAUCGCAUUUCAAAUACCGGUACCUGCAAACACAAACAUAUAUGCAACACCACAAACACAUGCAACACCACAAACAUACAUAGAUGUAGCUAGGCCACAAAAAGUGCAUGUGCACGUUGUUGGAGCGAGCUAGGGAGAAAAAAAGUGGAUCUACAUCAUGAAGAUAGCUUUCCCCUUACUUACCUAUCAAAAAAAGGUAAUUUCACCACUUAAUUUUGAUGAAUCUAUGGUGGAAAUGAGGUGAGGAGGAGGAGGCAGCCGGAAGCUUGGAGAAGGAGGUGGAGGGAAUGAAGUGGGGAAAGUGAGUGGGUAGGUGUGGCUGUCCAAAAUAUCUUGUUGGGGUCCCAGGUUACUAAUGGCGCACCACCUGCAAAUGCGCCAUUAGUAACCCUGGUUACUAAUGGCGCACCUGCAGGUGGUGCGCCAUUAGUAGUUUUGCAGAAAAGUAAAAAAAAA
rnacentral:lncRNA from 1 species